rnacentral:rRNA from 1 species
GUCGAGCACUCCUACGGGGGCAGCAGUGGGGAAUAUUGCACAAUGGGCGCAAGCCUGAUGCAGCCAUGCCGCGUGUAUGAAGAAGGCCUUCGGGUUGUAAAGUACUUUCAGCAGUGAGGAAGGUGGAUAUGUUAAUAGCAUAUUCAUUUGACGUUAGCUGCAGAAGAAGCACCGGCUAACUCCGUGCCAGCAGCCGCGGUAAUACGGAGGGUGCGAGCGUUAAUCGGAAUUACUGGGCGUAAAGCGCAUGCAGGUGGUUUGUUAAGUCAGAUGUGAAAGCCCGGGGCUCAACCUCGGAAUUGCAUUUGAAACUGGCAAACUAGAGUACUGUAGAGGGGGUAGAAUUUCAGGUGUAGCGGUGAAAUGCGUAGAGAUCUGAAGGAAUACCGGUGGCGAAGGCGGCCCCCUGGACAGAUACUGACACUCAGAUGCGAAAGCGUGGGGAGCAAACAGGAUUAGAUACCCUGGUAG